rnacentral:rRNA from 1 species
UACGAAGGGGGCUAGCGUUGCUCGGAAUCACUGGGCGUAAAGCGCACGUAGGCGGAUCUUUAAGUCAGGGGUGAAAUCCUGGAGCUCAACUCCAGAACUGCCUUUGAUACUGGGGAUCUCGAGUCCGGAAGAGGUGAGUGGAACUCCGAGUGUAGAGGUGAAAUUCGUAGAUAUUCGCAAGAACACCAGUGGCGAAGGCGGCUCACUGGCCCGGAACUGACGCUGAGGUGCGAAAGCG